AGAGUUUGAUCCGGCUCAGGAUAAACGCUGGCGGCGCACAUAAGACAUGCAAGUCGAACGAACUUAACUUCUUGCUUGCAAGAAGAGCGGUUAGUGGCGGACUGGUGAGUAACACGUAAGAAAUCUGCCUAUCAGAGGGGAAUAACAGUGAGAAAUCAUUGCUAAUACCGCAUAUGCCAUAGGAGUCGCAUGACUCUAGUGGGAAAGGAGCAAUCCGCUGAUAGAUGAGCUUGCGUCUGAUUAGCUAGUUGGUGGGGUAAAGGCCUACCAAGGCGACGAUCAGUAGCCGGACUGAGAGGUUGAACGGCCACAUUGGGACUGAGAUACGGCCCAGACUCCUACGGGAGGCAGCAGUCGGGAAUAUUGCGCAAUGGAGGAAACUCUGACGCAGUGACGCCGCGUAUAGGAAGAAGGUUUUCGGAUUGUAAACUAUUGUCCACAGGGAAGAAAAAAGACUGUACCUGUGAAGAAAGCUCCGGCUAACUACGUGCCAGCAGCCGCGGUAAUACGUAGGGAGCAAGCGUUAUCCGGAAUUAUUGGGUGUAAAGGGUGCGUAGACGGGAUAACAAGUUGGUUGUGAAACCCCUCGGCUCAACUGAGGAACUGCAACCAAAACUAUUAUUCUUGAGUGCAGGAGAGGAAAGUGGAAUUCCUAGUGUAGCGGUGAAAUGCGUAGAUAUUAGGAAGAACACCGGUGGCGAAGGCGACUUUCUGGACUGUAACUGACGUUGAGGCACGAAAGUGUGGGGGAGCAAACAGGAUUAGAUACCCUGGUAGUCCACACUGUAAACGAUGGAUACUAGGUGUAGGUGGUAUUAAGCCAUCUGUGCCGUCGCAAACGCAGUAAGUAUCCCACCUGGGGAGUACGACCGCAAGGUUGAAACUCAAAGGAAUUGACGGGGGCCCGCACAAGCAGUGGAGUAUGUGGUUUAAUUCGAAGCAACGCGAAGAACCUUACCAGGGCUUGACAUACAGAUGAAUAUCUAAGAGAUUAGAUAGUAUUUCGGUACAUCUGUACAGGUGGUGCAUGGUUGUCGUCAGCUCGUGUCGUGAGAUGUUAGGUUAAGUCCUGCAACGAGCGCAACCCCUAUACUUAGUUGCCAGCACGUAAAGGUGGGAACUCUAGGUAGACUGCCGGUGAUAAAUCGGAGGAAGGUGGGGACGACGUCAAAUCAUCAUGCCCUUUAUGUCCUGGGCUACACACGUACUACAAUGGCUAUAACAAAGAGAAGCGAGACGGAGACGUUAAGCGAAACCCAAAAAAGUAGUCUCAGUUCGGAUUGAAGGCUGAAAUUCGCCUUCAUGAAGCCGGAAUUGCUAGUAAUGGCAGGUCAGCAUACUGCCGUGAAUACGUUCCCGGGCCUUGUACACACCGCCCGUCACACCAUGAGAGUUGGGAAUACCCGAAGCCUGUGAGCUAACUGUAAGGAGGCAGCAGUCGAAGGUAGAAUCAAUGAUUGGGGUGAAGUCGUAACAAGGUAACC
rnacentral:rRNA from 1 species